AGGGAGAAGACACCAAAACAAGGAAACCUAAUUUCAACUGUUUAGAUUCCUGAAAUGAAGCAUUGGAAAGAAGGAAGAAUUAAGUCCUAGAUGCAGUUGUACACAGUACUGGUGAAACAACAAAUCCUGUCAGGACAGACAAGCCUGGAAUUGGAGGGGAGCUACCUCUUUUUUCUGAUAGUGAAUAAUUCAGCCCAAUAUCAAUAAUGGCUCAUACAGUGUUCUCAUAGAAGAUAAUUGAGAUGCAAAGUACUUACAGCAUUGGUAAGUCACACGAUUGAUUACUUGUGAAAGAACUGGAAGAAAUAUUGAAUUUAUUGAUGUGAA
rnacentral:lncRNA from 1 species